rnacentral:lncRNA from 1 species
AUGCUCUCCCCCUGCCCCUCUCGCACCCGGAGGCCCCCAGGACGCGGCGCCCCGCUUCUCAGCAUCCUCCAAACUUUCGCAGGAGCGGACCCGACACCGCACACCGCCCACCCCAGCCAGCAGGGCUUCCUCCUUCCCUGCUCUCCCACCCCCACGGAGAGGCUCCCACGCACCCGAUUCCCCCUCGGAGCACAGCUCGGGGACCGCUGCGCAUCCCCGGAGGAUUUUUCCACCCAACCUCCCCAUCCCAUCCCCAGUCCCCCCAUCCCACAGGGAUGCGUGGCAGGGACAGAGGGCAAACCCCGAGCACUCCCGUGGCGCUGCCCCGAGUGGGGCAGCGAUGCUGGGCUCUCACCUGCCUCCUUUUCUACCUCCUCCUCCUCCUCCUGCCGGCAGGACGGAGCGGGGGCCGCCGCCGGCCUCCUUUAUAUAGCGGCGGGGGGCGCAGCCUCCGAGCCGAGCCGAGCCGAGCCGCAGCGCCCCCCCGCGGCCCGAGGCUCCCCCCGCGCCGCCCCCGCGCCCCGAGCACUGGGGGGGGGCCGUGGGAAACGCGCCCCGCUUCGGGCCCCGGGAUGCUCGAAGCAGAAAGGAGGAGCUGGUCCCCAAAAAGGGGAGCCCGCAAGGGAAAACCAGCCUCUGUAUGCUGUCACCUCGGGUCUGGAAUCCAGGCACAGGCAGAUGCACGCAGAGCUACUCAGGAAGAGGAUGCCAGCCAGAUGCCACAUGGCCUUCUCCUGCCCAGAAGCCCCUACGACAGCUCUUGGAGACACCAGGAGAAGAGCCAGGACUUCAGGACAUGCAUUCAGAGGCGUGAAAUUACAUGUAACUGGAAGACUGGGGAGACCUGGGCAGGAAUAUCCGUGGUCUGCAUCCCAAAUCAAACCUAGCCCUUUGGCAGCUGGGAUCCAGAUCAGUGAGCAUCCCCGAAAAAUAUCCUUGCCCGGUGCCCACCUGAUCAGGCUGAUGUUAUGGUCUCAUGUGGCAGGGCAGUCGUAUCACAGGGUGUAUCCUUAUUUCCCAGGAAUGCGAUAGCUUCCUUAUUUCUGCCUGUGCUCAAACACGCUGUGCUUGCAUCUGUCUGCAGUUUAAAGUGCCAAGUACAUCCCUGUGGCACCAUCAGUCUGUCUUCUAUCCUUAAAGGACCUUCGUUUAGAGUUUGUUCUUCCCUGCUGAAAAAAAAAGUAGCUGUAUUUCCCACCCUCAUCCCCACCAUCACUACCGUGUGGACUAAAUACUUGAAUACAUGGACUCUUGAACUAUAAAGACAAUGGAGAUGAAGCAUCUCAGUGGGUGAAGUGGCUGAGAGCAUCCCUCUGGCCGGCACGAAGGAGGACCCUGAUGAGACAGGCUCUGGCAGCUUUAGCUGUGGUGGGUUAGGGAUGGAGAAAUCUUGCUGUUGAUGUUUCCCUCUCAUUUACUCCAUCCCAGCCACCCAGACACCUUGUACCCCCAAGCACUUCAGCCACUGACUUUCAGAAAGCAGCAACAAUGCUUGUCAUAUCAGAAGGCAUCGCCAGGAGACUCCUGAAGUCAGGGGCUUACAUGGGAGGCAGCCUUUCACUGCCCUCAGUUUACACUAGAGCCUGAAAGGACCCACUGGCUAUAUUAAAACGGUGUCAUAAUUGUGGAAGCCCAAAUUCAUGCAAGAUAUUAAUCAGACUGCCAAGAUCUGUUAUAUGAAAAAAAACAAAUCCGUGCUGGCAUUGAGUUUCUCUCCUCAAAAGAACAUUUUAGCAAACAAUUAUC